rnacentral:rRNA from 1 species
GACGAACGCUGGCGGCGUGCUUAACACAUGCAAGUCGAACGGAAAGGCCCUGCUUUUGUGGGGUGCUCGAGUGGCGAACGGGUGAGUAACACGUGAGUAACCUUCCCUUGACUUUGGGAUAACUUCAUGAAACUGGGGCUAAUACCGGAUAGGAGCUCCUGCUGCAUGUUGGGGGUUGGAAAGUUUCGGCGGUUGGGGAUGGACUCGCGGCUUAUCAGCUUGUUGGUGGGGUAGUGGCUUACCAAGGCUUUGACGGGUAGCCGGCCUGAGAGGGUGACCGGCCACAUUGGGAAUGAGAUACGGCCCAGACUCCUACGGGAGGCAGCAGUGGGGAAUAUUGCACAAUGGGCGGAAGCCUGAUGCAGCAACGCCGCGUGCGGGAUGAAGGCCUUCGGGUUGUAAACCGCUUUCGCCUGUGACGAAGCGUGAGUGACGGUAAUGGGUAAAGAAGCACCGGCUAACUACGUG